rnacentral:rRNA from 1 species
ACGCUCGACACCUACGGAGGCAGCAGUGGGGAAUAUUGCACAAUGGGGGAAACCCUGAUGCAGCGACGCCGCGUGUGCGAAGAAGUAUUUCGGUAUGUAAAGCUCUAUCAGCAGGGAAGAAGAAAGACGGUACCUGACUAAGAAGCCCCGGCUAACUACGUACCAGCAGCCGCGGUAAUCUGAGCGGGCUGGCAAGGC